rnacentral:lncRNA from 1 species
AGGUUUUUUAAGUAAGUGCAGAGGAGGGCGGCAGCUUGCUGAUGUGAAAUGUCUGGGGAGGUCUUGCUGGACCUGUCUAGAAAGUAAAUGAGUUCUUCAGGAGGGUAAAGGUGAGGGCUGUUAAAGGAAGUUUGGAGGUGUACGGAGACAGGAGGUGUUGCCUAGUCUGCAUGUAAGGUGGGGACAGCUGUGUAGGCGCUGGAAGAAAGAGAAAUGCAAAGCCAGCAGUUGUUCACUAAGGAGGGAUUAGAAACGGCUAGGAGAGAAUGAGUAAGGUUGACAGUGUGGUAGAGAUAGCUGGGGAGAGUAGAGGGUGGCAUAAGAAUGGGAAUGAGAAUAAGAGUGAG